AACCAUUCUCACCUGCGGCUAGACCUGCGGAAGGAUCAUUAUCGAGUGUAACUGACCCCCUAAAAAAGGGUAGUACCUCCCGUCCUUUGCAGGCCCCCUUUUUAUGGGGGGCUUUUUUUAAGACUUUCUGCUUCGGCGGGGUUACUCCCGCCGGAACACCCUCAAAAAACUCUCAAAAAAACCGUUCAGUCCGAGAACUUUUUAAAAAUAUAAAAAAAAACUUUUAACAAUGGAUCUCAG
rnacentral:misc_RNA from 1 species